CAAGUCAUGACGUUGGUCAAGGAGUGCCUGGACUGCUCUAUAUUUAGGUGGUCAGGGCGAUACUUCAAGCAGGUCAGGGGUUU
rnacentral:pre_miRNA from 1 species